CUACGGAGGGUGCAAGCGUUAUUCGGAAUCACUGGGCGUAAAGGACGCGUAGGCGGGUUGGCAAGUCAGAUGUGAAAUCCUACAGCUUAACUGUAGAACUGCAUUUGAAACUGCUAACCUAGAGUAUGGGAGGGGGAGAUGGAAUUAGUGGUGUAGGGGUAAAAUCCGUAGAUAUCACUAGGAAUACCGAAAGCGAAGGCGAUCUCCUGGAACAUAACUGACGCUAGGGCGUGAAAGCGUGGGGAGCAAACGGGAUUAGAUACCCGUGUAGUCC
rnacentral:rRNA from 1 species